ACACAAAAGAUAACCGCUGCUUAUGCAAUAUUAAGUAGAGGAAAGUCCAUGCUCGCACCAUCUGCGAUGAUGGUAGUGAUUGUGCUUAGCGAACACAUAAGCUAAGGUAUAGAGGCAUCUAUAACGGCCGCACUUUAACCUACGGUUUUAACUAUGGUUAAAGGCUAUAAAAGUGCCACAGAGACGAGCUUCAUUUGAAAGAGUGAAGGUGGAACGUUGGUAAACCCCACAAGCGAGAAACCCAAAAUUGGUAGGGGCAUCGAUCAAUUCGAAUUGAAGAAGCGAUCGGACACAUUUAUGUGUAGACAAAUGGUUAUCGUAACAGAACAUGGCUUAUUG
rnacentral:RNase_P_RNA from 1 species